AAGGACGGUGUUUCAUGAUAACUAGUCCGAAUCGACAGGCCUUGUGCCGGNGAUGGCUCAUUCAAAUUUCUUUCCUAUCAACUUNNGAUGGNGGGGUCUUGUCCAAACAUGGNGGCAACGGGUAACGGAGGGUUAGGGCUCGACCCCGGAGAAGGAGCCUGAGAAACGGCUACUACAUCCAAGGAAGGCAGGAGGCGCGCAAAUUACCCAAUCCCGACACGGGGAGGUAGUGACAAUAAAUACUGAUNCAGGGCUCUUUUGGGUCUUGNAAUCGGAAUGAGUACANUNUAAAUCCCUUAACGAGGAACAAUUGGAGGGCANGUACUGGUGCCAGCANCCGUGNUAAUUCCAGCUNCAAUAGCUGUNUAUUAAAGUUGNUGUGGUUAAAAAGCUCGC
rnacentral:rRNA from 1 species